CUUUAUAUAAACCCUGAACCCUAAGAAACAUGAGCUAUACCAACUGAUGGCCCUGAAGUAUCUUUCACAUAAACAGUUUGAGAUCAAGGACGCUGGCUGCACAGACCAGUGCGGAUCCAGGCAGCUGUGCCGCAACAAGGAUCAAUGCUCCCAUGGAGAGGAGGCAGGUGGGGGCCUCCGCAGGGGCUCAAGUGUUUGCAGAGCUGGGCCUCUAAGGUGGGCAAGGCCUCUUUCUUGAAGGGGACUGUGGCUCCACAGGGGGCUCUCAGAGGACUGGACAAUGGGGACAGCCCUGUGCCUGCCAGCCCACGGGAGGAACUGCCUGAUGGCUGCUUUUCCACAAACUUCUUUGGAAGGAUGAUUUGCCAUGGAAAGGAGUCAAGGGUGCAUUUAUCUUAUAAAUGAGGAAACUGAGGCCCACCUGGAUGAAGAUACUGGCCCAAAGUCCCAAGGUUAGUCAGCAGCAAAAAGUCAGGGUUCCUACUCCCUGUCCAGGGCUCUUCCCACCAGCUGCCCCUUCCAAAAGAUGCCACAUUUGGCAAGAGCACACCUUGAAGGUGUCUUAGGAGCAGGGCUGCACGGGAGCUCCUCUGUCUGCUCCAGCACGUGCACCUGCCUUACAUGAGUGUAGGCUGAAGGUCCUCUGACAGGCCUGGGUUCUAG
rnacentral:lncRNA from 10 species